UGGCUCAGACAGUAAAGCAUCUGCCUACAAUGCAGGAGACCCAGGUUCGAUCCCUGG
rnacentral:tRNA from 1 species